GUGUGACAUCUUGGUUUGCUUCCUAAUUUGACACUCACCACAGACUUUACCAUCCUCAAUUUUGAGUUUUGGUAGACCUCUAAUAGUUUUUCAGAUAUAACAUUCUUCAUACCUUUGAGAUUCAGAUGUCCAAGCUUCUGGUGCCACAAGUAGACUUCAUCUUCCCUAGACAUUAAACAUGUAGAAGAAUAAGUAGUUUCUUGUGGUACCCAUAAAUAGCAGUUGUCUUUAGACCUAACUCCUCUCAUC
rnacentral:lncRNA from 1 species